CGACCCCAGGUCAGGCGGGAU
rnacentral:ncRNA from 2 species